GAAGGCUGAGAUUGCAAAAGCUCACUGAAAACAUCAAAUAAUGAGUGAGAAAAGUCUCAAGCAAGGCUCCCUGGAGUUCUGUUUCAGACUUGUGAAGCUUACAUGUCCUUUUUCAAGCAAUAGUGAGCUGUCAUGUAAAGAGAUAGAAGAGUCCAGCUCAGAAAAGUUGGGUUGGAGGUGUGAGUGGGGAGAUAUUUGCCUAUGAAAAGUAUUUGAAGCCAAAACACAAAUGAAACAACUUACAAAGUGUUGCACAAGAGCAAUGACUGAUAGCAGAAAUCCCACACUUGGACAACGGAGACAAAAGGAUUGCUUCAACUACACAGUGCAAAACCCACAGACACAAAGGGAUGGCACUAUGUAUGGAGUCAGGCCUGCUCGGCACUUUGCACACUGCCAUCUGAAAAUAUCUCUUUACACAUUCAAUUGUCUAGUAUGUUUCCUACACCAGAAUGGAAGAUCAGAAGCCUCAGGAACCUUCUUGUAAGAGCAUCGCUGUUUGCCAUGAAGCCAUCUUCCCCACCUCUCAGCAGCAUUACCUUCCGGAGAAGCAGCAGCAGUUCACUAGUGAAUUGCCUCAAAGGUAUUCUCAUGAUUGCAGUUUGUUUAUGUCACCAAAGGUAUUCCUUGGAGGUCUCACAGUAUUCCCUGUGAGACCACAUCUAAGACAUUCACAAGAGGUGAGUUUAAGUUGACUGAUGACUCCUGGCAAUUUUAACAAGCCAUUUUUCAUUGAAUCCAG
rnacentral:lncRNA from 1 species